GACCCCGUAGCUCAGCUGGAUAGAGCACCUGCCUUCUAAGCAGGUUGUCGCAGGUUCGAAUCCUGCCGGGGUCGCCA
rnacentral:tRNA from 1 species